rnacentral:rRNA from 1 species
AAUGCCUAGGAAUCUGCCUGGUAGUGGGGGAUAACGCUCGGAAACGGACGCUAAUACCGCAUACGUCCUACGGGAGAAAGCAGGGGACCUUCGGGCCUUGCGCUAUCAGAUGAGCCUAGGUCGGAUUAGCUAGUUGGUGAGGUAAUGGCUCACCAAGGCGACGAUCCGUAACUGGUCUGAGAGGAUGAUCAGUCACACUGGAACUGAGACACGGUCCAGACUCCUACGGGAGGCAGCAGUGGGGAAUAUUGGACAAUGGGCGAAAGCCUGAUCCAGCCAUGCCGCGUGUGUGAAGAAGGUCUUCGGAUUGUAAAGCACUUUAAGUUGGGAGGAAGGGCAUUAACCUAAUACGUUGGUGUCUUGACGUUACCGACAGAAUAAGCACCGGCUAACUCUGUGCCAGCAGCCGCGGUAAUACAGAGGGUGCAAGCGUUAAUCGGAAUUACUGGGCGUAAAGCGCGCGUAGGUGGUUUGUUAAGUUGGAUGUGAAAUCCCCGGGCUCAACCUGGGAACUGCAUUCAAAACUGACAAGCUAGAGUAUGGUAGAGGGUGGUGGAAUUUCCUGUGUAGCGGUGAAAUGCGUAGAUAUAGGAAGGAACACCAGUGGCGA